rnacentral:rRNA from 1 species
AUUGAACGCUGGCGGCGUGCCUAAUACAUGCAAGUCGAACGCAGUGGGGACGGGUGAGUAACACGUGGGUAACCUCCCAUCAGAGGGGAUAACACUUGGAAACAGGUGCUAAACCGAUACUGAUGGAUGGACCCGCGGUGCAUUAGCGCGUUGGUGAGGUAACGGCUCACCAAGGCCACGAUGCAUAGCCAACCAGAGCGUGUGAUCGUCCACACUGGGACUGAGACACGGCCCAAACCCCUACGGGAGUGAGCAGUUGGGAAUCUUCUGCAAUGGACGAAAGUCUGACCGAGCAACGCCGAGUGAGUUAGGAAGGUUUUCGAAUCGUAAUACUCUGUUGUUAUAGAAGCGGUAUCUAACCAGAAAGCCACGGCUAACUACGUGCCAGCAGCCGCGGUAAUUC